UGGGGGAUAUUGCACAAUGGGCGAAAGCCUGAUGCAGCGACGCCGCGUGGGGGAUGAAGGCUUUCGGGUUGUAAACCUCUUUCGCUAUCGAACAAGGCCCGCUUAGGGUGGGUUGAGGGUAGGUGGAGAAGAAGCGCCGGCUAACUACGUGCCAGCAGCCGCGGUAAUACGUAGGGCGCGAGCGUUGUCCGGAAUUAUUGGGCGUAAAGGGCUUGUAGGCGGCUUGUUGCGCCUGCUGUGAAAACGCGGGGCUUAACUUCGCGCGUGCAGUGGGUACGGGCAGGCUUGAGUGUGGUAGGGGUGACUGGAAUUCCAGGUGUAGCGGUGGAAUGCGCAGAUAUCUGGAGGAACACCGAUGGCGAAGGCAGGUCACUGGGCCAUUACUGACGCUGAGGAGCGAAAGCAUGGGUAGCGAGCAGG
rnacentral:rRNA from 1 species